UGGGUUGUGGCUCAGUGGUAGAGCACUUGCCGAGCAUGUAUGAGGCACUGGGUUUGAUCCCAGCACUAA
rnacentral:tRNA from 1 species